AUGCAUGCACCUUUGGUCCACCAACACCACCAGAGCAACCACCAGAUCCCCUUCUUUUUCCUCCUCUUCCACCAGAUCUUCAUCUUCAUCCUCCAUUUUCCUCCUCUAUUUGACCUUCCUCUGCUCCUAUUCCCCUGGUCUCCAGCAGCAACCAUGGUGUCCUGGGAUGAUCUCCCAACCUCUUCUGAAGAUGACUCGGUGACCAGCAAGCCUCCUGCCACAAUUUUCUGUAAAGAAUGGACUGGCCCGGCCACAGAUCUGCCUAGCUUUACAUGUGAGCAUGGAUCUUUGUGUGAGAAGCAUGUGGCUUUUCAAUCAGUUGACAGUGGAAGAAGAUUCCUGGCUUGUGCACACAAGGAAGUACCUAAAUGCACCUAUGUGGAACAGAUAGACCCUGAGUGGCCUGAAGCAUUGAAGAUGAGCCUAUCUACCAUAUGGAGCAUGUAUGAAGAGGAGACAAAACAAAGGCUAACACAAAAUGUGUUGAGUGUUGAAGAGAACUUGAAGAUCAUGGAAGAGAAGACAAAAUGGAGAAUGAGCUGA
rnacentral:rRNA from 1 species